rnacentral:rRNA from 1 species
ACUCCUACGGGAGGCAGCAGUGGGGAAUCUUGUGCAAUGGGCGAAAGCCUGACACAGCGACGCCGCGUGAGGGAAGAAGGCCUUCGGGUUGUAAACCUCUUUCAGCAGGGACGAAAAUGACGGUACCUGCAGAAGAAGCCCCGGCCAACUACGUGCCAGCAGCCGCGGUAAUA